GUUUAGAAGGUCACAACAAACCCAAGGAUAUUCUGCAGUGGAACAAAAUUUCACCGUUGGUAACUCAUCAUUGUCGCCAUGGCUCAAGAGAGCAAUCAAAAACCAGCAGCAUAUAAACCAUCACUACACACACUCACUUACUUACCAACAUCCUCAUCCUCGCCCUCACAUUCGCCCUCGCCCUCGCCCUCGCCCUCACAGUCGCCCUCGCCCUCACCCACACACUCACCCUCAACCUCGCCCUCACCCACACCCACACCCUCACCCUCACCCUCACCCU
rnacentral:misc_RNA from 1 species